AUUGAACGCUGGCGGCAUGCCUUACACAUGCAAGUCGAACGGUAACGGGCCUUCGGGUGCCGACGAGUGGCGAACGGGUGAGUAAUGUAUCGGAACGUACCUUUCAGUGGGGGAUAACGUAGCGAAAGUUACGCUAAUACCGCAUAUUCUGUGCGCAGGAAAGCAGGGGAUCGCAAGACCUUGCGCUGAUUGAGCGGCCGAUAUCAGAUUAGCUAGUUGGUGAGGUAAAGGCUCACCAAGGCGACGAUCUGUAGCGGGUCUGAGAGGAUGAUCCGCCACACUGGAACUGAGACACGGUCCAGACUCCUACGGGAGGCAGCAGUGGGGAAUUUUGGACAAUGGGGGCAACCCUGAUCCAGCCCAUGCCGCGUGAGUGAAGAAGGCCUUCGGGUUGUAAAGCUCUUUCGGCCGGGAAGAAAUCGUAUGGGCUAAGUACCCUGUGCGGAUGACGUACGGCCGAUAAGAAGACACCGGCUAACUAACGUCGCCACGCAGCCGGCGGUAAA
rnacentral:rRNA from 1 species